ensembl:snoRNA
YGCAGCUGCGUCAAAUUCGGUCCCCGGCUGCCCUGUGCUGGGGACCGGCCAAACAGCUGCCACAGCGACGCCUGUAGCUCAUGGGCCCCACUGUCUCUCUGCCUCGACCUUGGGGAUAAAUAAACGCUACGGACACUG